rnacentral:rRNA from 1 species
GGGUUAGUAGGUUGGUCAUGCCUCUGGUAUGUACUGGUCUCACUGAUUCCUCCUUCCUGAUGAACUGUAAUGCCAUUAAUUUGGUGUGGUUGGAAAUCAGGACUGUUACUUUGAAAAAAUUAGAGUGUUUAAAGCAGACUAUCGUCUGAAUACAUUAGCAUGGAAUAAUGAAAUAGGACGGACUGAUUCUAUUUCGUUGGUUUCUAGGAUCACCGUA